UAGGUGACUCAAAGCAUCUGUGCUGC
rnacentral:piRNA from 1 species